CUACGGGCGGCUGCAGUGGGGAAUUUUGGACAAUGGGGGCAACCCUGAUCCAGCCAUGCCGCGUGAGUGAAGAAGGCCUUCGGGUUGUAAAGCUCUUUCGCAAGGAAAGAAAACUUACCUUUUAAUAAAGGGUGAGGCUGACGGUACCUUGAUAAGAAGCACCGGCUAACUACGUGCCAGCAGCCGCGGUAAUACGUAGGGUGCGAGCGUUAAUCGGAAUUACUGGGCGUAAAGCGUGCGCAGGCGGUUCGACAAGUCUGAUGUGAAAUCCCCGGGCUUAACCUGGGAACUGCGUUGGAAACUGUCGGGCUAGAGUGUAGAAGAGGGGGGUAGAAUUCCACGUGUAGCAGUGAAAUGCGUAGAGAUGUGGAGGAAUACCGAUGGCGAAGGCAGCCCCCUGGGCUAACACUGACGCUCAUGCACGAAAGCGUGGGGAGCAAACAGGAUUAGAUACCCGGGUAGUC
rnacentral:rRNA from 1 species